CCGAAAACUAAAAAAUAAAUAUUAAAAAAUUCUCUCUCUCUCUCUCUCUUAAAAAAAAAAUAGCUUUAUUGGGCUGAGAUUGUGGCUCAGUGGUAGGGCACUCGCCUAGCAUGUGUGGGGCCCUGGGUUCGAUCCUCAGCACCACAUAACAAUAAAUAAAUAAAAUAAAGAUAUUGUGUCCAACUACAACUAAAAGAUAUAAAAAAAAAGCUUUAUUGAGGUAUAAUUUACAUAGCAUAAAAUUUACCUAUUUUAAGUUUACAGUUAAAUGAGUUAUAAAUUUACAGUUUGGAAUCAUCAUCAUCAUAAUCCAGUUUAUAAUAUUCCAUCAUCUCCAAAAGUUAUUUUGUCUGUAGUUGGUCCCAUUCCCAUCUGCUGGCAACCAUUUCUAUUUUCCAGGUUUAUAGUUUUGCCUAUUCUAGGAAUUUGAUAUAAAUGAAAUUUUGCAGUAGUAUUAUUGUCUGACUUUUCUCAGUUAGCAUGUUUUUGAAGUUUAUUGAUGUUGUUGCAGAUAUCGGUAGUUCUUUUUAUUCCUGAGUAAUAUUCCAUUGUUUGGAUAUACCACUGUUGUUUAUCUAUUUGCCACUGAUAUAAGAUGAAUGGCUUUUAGGUUCUUAAAAUAAAAUCUUUCCCAGAAUACUAAAGUCUUUUGCUUGCUCUUUUUGGAACAAGUGAUUAGAACUGCCUUGAUUCUUGAGGAGGGAAAACUCUCUGAGCUCUAUUUUUUUUUAACCCUUAGGGAUACUUCCUUAUAAACUUAGGCUUGAAGGGAUAUAGUUUGAAAACCACCAAGCUAAAGUAUACUAUUGAAAUUUCAUAUACUAUAUUAAGAAAAUGAGUAUAUAAAUGCUAUUUCCAGAUGAGAUUAAUGAAGAAAAACUUAAACAGUGUUUGGGAACAAUUUUAUUUUUUAUACUACAGGGGAUUCAGCCUAGUGGUGCUCUACCUAUGAGUUAUAUCUUCAGCCCUUUAAUUUUUAUUUUGAGACAGGGUCUUGUUAAAUUGCCUAGGCUGGGCUUGAACUUGAGAUCCUCCUGUCUUACCUUUCUGAGGUGUUGGGAUUAUAGGUGCAUGCCAUCACACUCUGCUGGGAACACAUUUGUUUGUGUGUGUGUGUGUGUGUGUGUGUGUGUGUGUGAACCAGAAUUUGUGAUAGAUUAACUAUAUUUGCUAAGGGAAUGAUAAUAUUCCCCUUGUUUAAAAUUUGGCUUUUCUGCAAAGUUUCAUGCUUACCUGGUAGAAUGUUAUUUCAGAAGACUUAUUUUUACCCUUCUACCUUUAUAUAUAUAUAAUAUUUUUUAUUUUUUUAAAUCAGGCAAUUAUUAUAGUUUACGUUCUCAGCAUGAGAAAGCGGCCUUAUAUUUCCAGAGAGCCCUAAAGUUGAAUCCUCGGUAUCUUGGGGCCUGGACACUGAUGGGGCAUGAGUACAUGGAAAUGAAAAAUACAUCUGCUGCUAUCCAGGCUUAUCGGUGAGCAUCUAGUUGGGGGUUGAGGAUUGCUGUGUUAGGAGCCUCAGUUGAGCCUGCAAGUUUCAAGCCUUGAUUAUGCUUUCUUAACAUUCUUUCAUUUUCAUUUCUUAGACAUGCCAUUGAGGUCAAUAAGCGGGACUACAGAGCUUGGUAUGGCCUUGGGCAGACCUAUGAAAUCCUUAAGAUGCCAUUUUACUGCCUAUAUUACUACAGACGGGCCCACCAGCUUCGGUAAGUCUGGUCACUUUACAAUGUAUCUGGUGUGGGAAGGGCUGUUUCAGUAGCUAUUCAUGAAUCACAGAGAAUGGUUUCGGCUUUUGGAGACUUGAAUUUAAGCUUGCUAAAGCUGUUUGGUCAUUUUUAUUUAAUGUCUUCCACUAAUGGGUUAAUAGUACAAUUAUGAACACAAAGUAACCUAAUUAUAUGAAGUAUUAGAAUAAAGGUCAAACCUUGUAUAGAUUUGAAAUAGUGGUGCUAGUUCCUCAAUGGAAGACUUCAGUUAUCAAUAAAGUCUUUGCACAAACUACCUAUUCCUCUUCUUUCUUAGGCCCAAUGAUUCUCGUAUGCUGGUUGCAUUAGGAGAAUGUUAUGAGAAACUCAAUCAACUAGUGGAAGCCAAAAAGGUACCUGAAAUUGAAGUCUGGAGAAUUUGAGUGGAAAUCUGCAGUUUAGAUACAGAUUGGGCUGUAUGUGCUCUAAUUUUCCUUUAUAUUGAUCUAUGUGUAAGGAAAAGUCUGAAUAUUUACAGGUGCAUAGGCUAAAAAAAAGGUGUGCUGAGAUCAUUAGUGGGAAUGCUGUUUAUAGCCUGAACCUAUUAGAAAUGGCAAAAAUGUCUUGUAUUUUGCAAAUCUGAACUCCUAGGAAGCUUGUAGGACCUUUCCCUUUAUGUGAUUAAUGAUGGCACAUGGGACGAUGGUCAAAGUGACUGGUUUAAUUUUUUUUGACAGUGUUAUUGGAGAGCUUAUGCUGUGGGAGAUGUGGAGAAAAUGGCUCUGGUGAAACUGGCAAAGUGAGUGAAAGGAGAGAAACACUAUUGAUACUUCUGUUGUCCUUUUUUUAAUAUUUAUUUUUUAAUUGUAGUUGGACAUAAUACCUUUAUUUUGUUUGUUUAUUUUUAU
rnacentral:lncRNA from 1 species